rnacentral:rRNA from 1 species
CCUACGGGAGGCAGCAGUGGGGAAUCUUGCGCAAUGGGCGAAAGCCUGACGCAGCCAUGCCGCGUGAAUGAUGAAGGUCUUAGGAUUGUAAAAUUCUUUCAGCAGGGACGAUAAUGACGGUACCUGCAGAAGAAGCCCCGGCUAACUUCGUGCCAGCAGCCGCGGUAAU